UAAACCAAAAACUAAUUGUAUUAAUGCAAGAUCGACUACGUCGACUAAAGUUCUAGGUAGAAUAAUGAUGAUGACAUUUUUUACCUAUAUGUCUUGACCAAGUCUCGUGCCAGCAGUCGCGGUAAUACGUGGAAGACUAGUGUUAUUCAUCUUUAUUAGGUUUAAAGGGUACCUAGACGGUAUUUCUAGCCCUAGGUACGGAUUUACUAGAGUUUUAUGUGAGGAGGGAGUACUCGUGGAGUAGAGAUGAAAUUUGUGAUACUAUGGAAACUGGUGGCGAAAGCAACCUUCUAUGUAAAAACUGACGUUGAGGGACGAAGGCUUGGGUAGCAAAUAGGAUUAGAUACCCUAGUAGUCCAAGCAGACAAUUAUGAAUGUCAUAGAUUAGAUUAUUUUUGGUCUAUAAAUGAAAGUGUAAGCAUUCCACCUCAGGAGUAAUGUGGCAACACAGGAACUGAAAUCAUUAGACCGUUUCUGAAACCAGUAGUGAAGUAUGUUAUC
rnacentral:rRNA from 1 species